UACGAAGGGGGCUAGCGUUGCUCGGAAUCACUGGGCGUAAAGCGCACGUAGGCGGGUUCUUCAGUCAGGGGUGAAAUCCUGGAGCUCAACUCCAGAACUGCCUUUGAUACUGGGAAUCUCGAGUCCGGGAGAGGUGAGUGGAACUGCGAGUGUAGAGGUGAAAUUCGUAGAUAUUCGCAAGAACACCAGUGGCGAAGGCGGCUCACUGGCCCGGUACUGACGCUGAGGUGCGAAAGCGUGGGGAGCAAACAGG
rnacentral:rRNA from 1 species